rnacentral:rRNA from 1 species
AGGGUUGAUCCUGGGCUCAGGAUGAACGCUAGCGGCAGGCUUAAUACAUGCAAGUCGAGGGGCAGCAGGGGUGUAGCAAUACACUCGCUGGCGACCGGCAAACGGGUGCGGAACACGUACGCAACCUACCCAAAACUGGGGAAUAGCCCGGGGAAACCCGGAUUAAUACCUCGUAACAUAAGUGGAUGGCAUCAUUUACUUAUUAUAGCUCCGGCGGUUUUGGAUGGGCGUGCGCCUGAUUAGGUAGUUGGCGGGGUAACGGCCCACCAAGCCUGCGAUCAGUAACUGGUGUGAGAGCACGACCAGUCACACGGGCACUGAGGCACGGGCCCGACUCCUACGGGAGGCAGCAGUAAGGAAUAUUGGUCAAUGGACGCAAGUCUGAACCAGCCAUGCCGCGUGAAGGAUGAAGGUCCUCUGGAUUGUAAACUUCUUUUAUAUGGGACGAAACCCUCUCAUUCCUGAGAGAUUGACGGUACCAUAGGAAUAAGCACCGGCUAACUCCGUGCCAGCAGCCGCGGUAAUACGGAGGGUGCAAGCGUUAUCCGGAUUCACUGGGUUUAAAGGGUGCGUAGGAGGACAGGUAAGUCAGUGGUGAAAUCUUCGAGCUUACUCGGAAACUGCCGUUGAUACUAUCUGUCUUGAAUCCCGUGGNNGUGAGCGGAAUAUGUCAUGUAGCGGUGAAAUGCU